rnacentral:rRNA from 1 species
CCGCUUGAACUUAAGCAUAUCAAUAAGCGGAGGAAAAGAAACCAACAGGGAUUGCCUCAGUAACGGCGAGUGAAGCGGCAACAGCUCAAAUUUGAAAUCUGGCCUCCUGGUCCGAGUUGUAAUUUGCAGAGGAUGCUUCGGGCGCGGUGCCUUCCAAGUCCCCUGGAACGGGGCGCCGGAGAGGGUGAGAGCCCCGUACGGUUGGCGGCCAAGCCUGUGUGAAGCUCCUUCGACGAGUCGAGUAGUUUGGGAAUGCUGCUCUAAGCGGGAGGUAGACCCCUUCUAAAGCUAAAUAUUGGCCAGAGACCGAUAGCGCACAAGUAGAGUGAUCGAAAGAUGAAAAGCACUUUGAAAAGAGGGUUAAACAGCACGUGAAAUUGUUGAAAGGGAAGCGCUUGAGACCAGACGUGCGCCGGGGUGCUCAGCGGGCGUUCUCGCCCGUGCACUCGCCCCGGCGCAGGCCAGCGUCGGUUUGGGCGGGGGGAUAAAGGCGUCUGGAAUGUGGCUCCCCCGGGAGUGUUAUAGCCAGGCGUGCCAUGCCUCCGCCCGGACCGAGGUACGCGUUCUGCAAGGACGCUGGCGUAAUGGUCCCCAGCGACCCGUCUUGAAAACACGGA